AUACGUAGGGGGCAAGCGUUAUCCGGAUUUACUGGGUGUUAAAGGGAGCGUAGACGGUUCUGCAAGUCUGGAGUGAAAGCCCGGGGCUCAACCCCGGGACUGCUUUGGAAACUGUGGAACUAGAGUGCAGGAGAGGUAAGUGGAAUUCCUAGUGUAGCGGUGAAAUGCGUAGAUAUUAGGAGGAACACCAGUGGCGAAGGCGGCUUACUGGACUGUAACUGACGUUGAGGCUACGAAAGCGGUGGGGAGAC
rnacentral:rRNA from 1 species